UCUAUUUGGAGGUAUAGAAAGUCUAGCCUGCCCGCUGAUUGAAAAGUGAUUUAAGGGCCGCGGUAUUAUGACCGUGCAAAGGUAGCAUAAUCAUUAGGUUUUUAAAUGAGAUCUUGUAUGAAUGGUUGGACAAAGGAAAAGCUGUCUUUAUGUGAAAAUUUGAAUUUUACUUUUAAGUGAGAAGGCUUAAAUGUUUUAGGGGGACGAUAAGACCCUAUAAAGCUUUACAUUGUAGUUAUAUUUAAUUGAAUUUUGAGAAUAAAAGUUUAUUGUAGAUAUUUGUUUUGUUGGGGAGAUAAAAGUAAAAAUUAUAUUAACUGCUUGGUAGAUUAAACAUUUAUUAGUGAUAUAGGUUAAUAGAUCCUGAAUAUAGAUUUAAAGAUUAAGUUACUUUAGGGAUAACAGUGUAAUUUUUUUUAAGAGUUCAUAUCGAAAAAAAAGUUUGCAACCUCGAUGUUGAAUUAAAAYGUCUAUAUAAUGUAGCUGUUAUAUCAGAARGUCUGUUCG
rnacentral:rRNA from 1 species